rnacentral:sRNA from 1 species
GGAUAUGGAAGGGCAGAAGCAGGGUGACAUCUGCACAGCACCUGUGGAUUCAGCUGACCUGGCAGGCUUGGUGUCCCCUUCUUCUCCCAACCUUCCUCAUGUCCUCCUCAAAGCUGCAUGCUCAAAGAAGAUGACCUUCCCAGCAAAAGGACCAUUCUUUUGGCAAGCAUAUCUUUCCAAGUUUGUUGCAAAGAUUUAAUAAGAUAAUGGAUAUAAAAAUGCUUUAAAAACUGAAAGCACUACACAAGUAUAAGUUAUUAUAAUUAUUAUGAUUAACAAUGU